CGCUGAACUUAAGCAUAUCAUUAAGCGGAGGAAAAGAAACUAACAAGGAUUCCCCCAGUAACGGCGAGUGAAGCGGGAAGAGCUCAAGCUUAAAAUCUCCAUACUUGUAUGGCGAAUUGUAGUCUAUUGAGGCUGUUGUCAGCAUCGCGAUCGGGGACAAGUCCCUUGGAAAAGGGCAGCAUGGAGGGUGAUACUCCCGUCUCUGCUCCGAUUUGCGGUGUGUACGAUACGCUUUCUUUGAGUCGAGUUGUUUGGGAAUACAGCUCAAAGUAGGUGGUAAAUUCCAUCUAAAGCUAAAUAUUGGUGCGAGACCGAUAGCGAACAAGUACCGUGAGGGAAAGAUGAAAAGAACUUUGAAAAGAGAGUUAAAGAGUACCUGAAACUGUUGAAAGGGAACCGUAUCGUUUCCAGUGUUUUAUCCUGUGCAUAUUUCAUUCGCGGAGCAAUUUGCGGGUGCCCUGUGCAUGGGUGUGACGUCAGAGUCAGUUUGUAUGCUGCGGGAGAUGGUCAGUGAGGAGGUGCGUCACUUCGGUGAAAGUUAUAUCUCGCUGUCUAGUAGCCGUGGUUGAGACUGAGGUGCCUACAACAUGCCUUGGGGUUUCGUGUUGUCUCGUGUUAAUAACUGCUUUGAUAGCUUGCUAUGUCUGUGGUUUAUUGAUGCGAUUGAUGAUGCGGAUAACCUCUGCUGUUCGGGACUCUGGCGAAAUGGAGCGAUACG
rnacentral:rRNA from 1 species